GACUUCUCCAAUGGGACACAUCCAUCUCCAAGAGUUAUCCAUCAUGUUCUCCAAUAACCUUAUGCUCCGACAAGUUUGGACUACCGAGGUGAAUAUCUAGGCAUUUCAAGAAUGCCUUGUUUUCUGCCACUCCCUUUUUCUGGCAGCUAAAAAGACCAAAGGAGUAUCUUUUGAGUUGACAGACUGGCCUAUCACCCAGCUGACUUCCAUGCCUAAAUGGGGACUAGAACUCCCACCAGUCUCCUGGUACCUUCAGCAUUAAACCAAACUGGCUCUUCUAUGUAAACGUCGAAUAAAAACACAUCUCCAGUUAGAAGAAUUAGAAAAAGAUAGUAUGGAAAGCUAGAAGAGAGUUCUCUAGUCCAGCAUUAUGAAGACUGCACCUAGCUUUUCAUCCUCCGCAUUUUGUAGGACCUUCGGGGUUCCUGUCAGAAAUCUUUUAAGUUCCAAACAUUUCAUAGGCUCUUCAGGAUUAAUCCUUUCAAGAGCAUCUUGUCAACUGGUGUCCUCAGUUCUAUUUCCCUUGUGGUUAAAUUAGAAUUAAGGCAGCCAGGGUUUCAUUUCCGACAGCAGGGAUAGGAAUUUCAAAAGACCUUCCUUUCCUUCCUCCACCGACGAUUUGGUGGAGAUCUCUUGGGUUUUAGAGAUUUACUCUGUUGAGCUUUCCCUGGUGAAAGAUGAUCGUGCCGAGGUUGGAGAAAUGUGAUCAUGAGUCCAUUGGCUGGAAUUUAUUGCUUAAAGGAAAAGAGCAAGCGGCGGUUACCCAUGCUUUUAACUUCCCAUGUCUCAAUUUUGCAGUUGUUUAUGGAGUUCUUUCGUGAAGAUUUAGCUGUUCUUAAAUCUUUGCUUUCCUCCUUUUAAAGAAACAAUUCA